UCCGCCUGCACCAAUGGCCACAUCUCCCUGCGGGCAGUCUAGCUCCCCGCUCCGCCCCGCGGUGCUGGGCAUUGUGCGAGAGGCUGUCGGCUCGUCUCCAGCCUCGGUUCCCAGCGCCGAGGCGGCGCUGCUCGCGCCCUUGCGUCGCCCAGGAAGCCCCUCCCCCUCUCCGCUCCUCCCACCUUCCAGGUCCAGCUCCAGGGCUGGAGCUCCAGCUCCUCCUUCAAGAAGCCUCCAGGUCCUGACCUGCCCUCUGUGAGCCUCGCGAUAUCAGUGCACGCUCCCGCCCCGCCCCCGUGCUGGGCACGCCCACCGGGCCCAUCUCCCCAGCCCCCGCCCCCCGCCAGUCGUGUCCACACGUUUGCCCACGCGUGGGGCGGCGAGGGUGGGCACAGAAGAGGGGCAGACCGUAGUGCAGAGUGAGGUCGGAGUGGACACAGAGUGUGCAUGCUCCCAGAGGAAUCUCCAUGAUCAGGGAGCCUCUUUCCCCCUUACACUGACUUUGGAACCCCUGAGGAGCCGCCAGACGCCACUACCGCGUGGACGGUGCCCUAUAAGCAGCUCUCAACGGACCAACAGAGGGCUGCCUGGUUUACGGACGGCAGUUCCAAGGGAAACGGGCAGCAUCCUGCUUGGAUCGUCACCAUCUGAUGAAAGAAGGACCCCGCAGCCAGGAAGCGCUCUGGGUACCAGCAGCUCCCGAAUCCCGCAG